rnacentral:lncRNA from 10 species
AGCCUGAACUUUCUCAUCCAACACCCGUUCAAGUCGGAGGAUGCUGAUUAAUUCAUGAUGGAAAGGUAUCAAUUUCACAGCCCAGACCUCUACAUUCUUGAAAUGCUCUUCUCAUGGGAGACAUUAAAUAAGCUUUGAAUUAACUGAAGAACCAAUGAUGUGAUCCCUGGAUACUGGCAAUUGUUGCCCAAGAAAACCUCUCCCCUUGCUGUGGGACUGCUGGGCACCCAAAUAAUGCACCCAAAUAAUUUGAUAGCUCUUGUUACACAGCUCUUCUUGGACUAAAAGGCCCUCAGCAUUCCUGUCAAUUUCUACACUCCUGAAGCUUCAUCUGGAGACCUCUGUGGAUUCUAUAACUCAAAGACCCAGGCUGACGGCUGGUGGAAUAGCUACCAUCUCAAACAUGGCGUGAUGCUGCAUCAGAGAGAAAAAUAAGCUCUUGCAUUGACAAUGAAAUGUCUACCCUGUAGUGACUUGUGCUUACUUCCACUCACAAGUGAUUGCCCAGAGCUACUUACCUGGCUCCAAUCUACCACUGGGUCAGACGUUUGCUGAAUUCAGUUCUGAGCUUUUGAACCAAAAGCAGAUCUUCAGAACAAGAAACAAGAUAAUAAAAGAGAAACAUGAAGAAACUGAAGAUGAUUGGAGAAAUAUGAAUCAAGAUGAUUAGACCUAGCAGAGGGCUGGCUGGAUGGCAUUUAUGUUGACAAUGGACUCCUACACAGAGGAUGAUCAU